rnacentral:rRNA from 1 species
UACGUAGGCAGCAAGCGUUGUUCGGAAUUACUGGGCGUAAAGAGUGUGUAGGCGGUGCUCUAAGUUCGGUGUGAAAUUCCCUGGCUUAACUGGGGGCGUGCGGGCGAUACGGGCAGACUGGAGUACUGCAGGGGAGACUGGAAUUCCUGGUGUAGCGGUGGAAUGCGCAGAUAUCAGGAGGAACACCGGUGGCGAAGGCGGGUCUCUGGGCAGUAACUGACGCUGAGGAGCGAAAGCGUGGGGAGCGAACAGG